AAAAGUCAGGGAAGGCGGUCUGGAUCAUAGCAUACAUGACAGGAGAGCAUCUCCAUAUCAGCAACUUUGUUAUCGCUACUGGUGGCCAUGGCAGACUCAGAUGAACACCCAGUGUUCUCCUGAAACAAAAUCAAACCAAUGUUCAUUAAGUAAUCGAGUGUUCUCCUGAAACAAAAACAAACCGGUGUUCAGUAAGUAAUACAAGGAAAGGAAAAUGAUAUUGACAGAAAGAAAACACAAAAGGGAAACCUAACCUUUCAGGAACAGAUGCAACUUUCUCUUUCUUUUGUUUUCAUCCUUUCUUCGAUUGCUUCUCCGACUUCUCUUGUUGUGCUGACUUCUUUUUGUCACUUAGAGAACACUUACCACUCUCAAGUUCAAUGUCAACGUAUACAAUAUCCAGAAUGACAAGCUACUAAUCAAACAGUAGGGAAAGUAGCCAACAUUUUUAGUUUCAACUGCUGCUACAAUACCCACAGUACGAGGAAAACAUGGAAAACUGAUAUACCAUGUGUGUUGUUGUUUCUACUAAUUCAGGUAACAUGUUGUGUACUACUCCCUCUGUUACUAAAUAUAACUCUUUGUAGAGAUUCCACUAUGGACCACAUACGGAUGUAUAUAGAUGCAUUUUAGAGUGUAGAUUCACUCAUUUUGCUCCGUAUAUUGUCCAUAGUGAAAUCUCUACAAAGACUUAUAUUUAGGAACGGAGGGAGUACAUUAAUCUUAGAAAUUAACAUGGAAUGAAUUGUAUGGUCAUCUGCACUGCUGUAGGAUGGCCAGCUAGAAUGAAAUCACUAAGUUGCAUGACAGGAGGGAGUGGUAACCACCAUAACAGUUCAUGAACCGGUGAAAAAAGGGCAGUAUACCAAAAACUGUAAAACAACUGUGGUAGCGUGUGCUAUAAACCAAGUACUGACAAAACUAAAUGAUGAAUAAUCACAAAAUCAGUAAGCAUGUAAGCAUAUCGAAAUAAAUCAUUAAGAAUUUAUAAUUUAUUUAAAUGAACUUGUCCAAAUCACAACUGUGAUGCAACUAUAAUGAGAAGUGGUUCUAUCAACCAUGCAACACCAAGCCCAUAAUUCUAUGGAACUUCAUAUUCAGAAGAUAAAUAUACCUGAAUAGCUAGUGCAGGAGAGUAUCCACGGU
rnacentral:lncRNA from 1 species